rnacentral:rRNA from 1 species
UACGUAGGGUGCGCGCGUUAAUCGGAAUUACUGGGCGUAAAGCGUGCGCAGGCGGUCUGUUAAGACCGAUGUGAAAUCUCCGGGCUUAACCUGGAAACUGCCAUUGAUACUAUCAAUCUUGAAUACCUUGGAGGUGAGCGGAAUAUGUCAUGUAGCGGUGAAAUGCUUAGAUAUGACAUAGAACAUCAAUUGCGAAGGCAGCUCACUACACGGUCAUUGACACUGAGGCACGAAAGCGUGGGGAUCAAACAGG